GCAGUGGGUACGGGCAGACUAGAGUGCGGUAGGGGAGAUUGGAAUUCCUGGUGUAGCGGUGGAAUGCGCAGAUAUCAGGAGGAACACCGAUGGCGAAGGCAGAUCUCUGGGCCGUAACUGACGCUGAGGAGCGAAAGGGUGGGGAGCAAACAGGCUUAGAUACCCUGGUAGUCCACCCCGUAAACGUUGGGAACUAGUUGUGGGGUCCAUUCCACGGAUUCCGUGACGCAGCUAACGCAUUAAGUUCCCCGCCUGGGGAGUACGGCCGCAAGGCUAAAACUCAAAGGAAUUGACGGGGACCCGCACAAGCGGCGGAGCAUGCGGAUUAAUUCGAUGCAACGCGAAGAACCUUACCAAGGCUUGACAUAUACGAGAACGGGCCAGAAAUGGUCAACUCUUUGGACACUCGUAAACAGGUGGUGCAUGGUUGUCGUCAGCUCGUGUCGUGAGAUGUUGGGUUAAGUCCCGCAACGAGCGCAACCCUCGUUCUAUGUUGCCAGCACGUAAUGGUGGGAACUCAUGGGAUACUGCCGGGGUCAACUCGGAGGAAGGUGGGGAUGACGUCAAAUCAUCAGGCCCCUUAUGUCUUGGGCUUCACGCAUGCUACAAUGGCCGGUACAAAGGGCUGCAAUAUUGUGAGGUGGAGCGAAUCCCAAAAAGCCGGUCCCAGUUCGGAUUGAGGUCUGCAACUCGACCUCAUGAAGUCGGAGUCGCUAGUAAUCGCAGAUCAGCAACGCCGCGGUGAAUACGUUCCCGGGUCUUGUACACACCGCCCGUCAAGUCAUGAAAGUCGGUAACACCUGAAGCCGGUGGCCUAACCCCUGUGGAGGGAGCCUCGAAGUGAUCGUGCUU
rnacentral:rRNA from 1 species